rnacentral:rRNA from 1 species
UACGUAGGGGGCAAGCGUUGUCCGGAAUCAUUGGGCGUAAAGAGCGUGUAGGCGGUCCGAUAAGUCGGCUGUGAAAGUCAAGGGCUCAACCCUUGAAUGCCGGCCGAUACUGUCGGGCUAGAGUCCGGAAGAGGCGAGUGGAAUUCCUGGUGUAGCGGUGAAAUGCGCAGAUAUCAGGAGGAACACCAAUGGCGAAGGCAGCUCGCUGGGACGGUACUGACGCUGAGGCGCGAAAGCGUGGGGAGCAAACAGG